AUUGAACGCUGGCGGCAGGCCUAACACAUGCAAGUCGAGCGGAGCGGCGGACGGGGGAGUAAUGCAUAGGAAUCUGCCUGGUAGUGGGGGAUAACGUACGGAAACGGGCGCUAAUACCGCAUACUAUCAGAUAAGCCUAGGUCGGAUUAGCUAGUUGGUGGGGUAAAGGCCUAACACGGAGAAGAUCCGUAACUGGGCUGAGAGGAUGAUGAGGCAAACUGGAACUGAGACACGGUCCAUACGCCUACGGGAGGCAGCAGUGGGGAAUAUUGGACAAUGGGCGAAAGCCUGAUCCAGCCAUGCCGCGUGUGUGAAGAAGGUCUUCGGAUUGUAAAGCACUUGAAGUUGGGAGGCGUUACCAACAGAAUAAGCACCGGCUAACUCCGUGCCAGCAGCCGCGGUAAUAC
rnacentral:rRNA from 1 species